GCCGGCGACAAGCGGAGGAAGGUGGGGAUGACGUCAAGUCAUCAUGGCCCUUAUGUCCAGGGCGACACACGUGCUACAAUGGCCGGCACAGCGGGAAGCGGAGGGGCGACCCUGAGCGGAUCCCUUGAAAGCCGGUCCCAGUUCGGAUUGCAGUCUGCAACUCGACUGCAUGAAGUUGGAAUCGCUAGUAAUCGCGGAUCAGCCAAGCCGCGGUGAAUACGUUCCCGGGCCUU
rnacentral:rRNA from 1 species